rnacentral:lncRNA from 1 species
CUCUUAUGACCUCAAUUUUGCUAGGGUCGUCCAUCCAAGCUGAUUAUAUGUUGCUCAUUGUUAAGCUUCUUUUCUUGGACUUUCUUCCAAUGACUUUAUAAACUCAAGGAACAAUUUGGUGAUUCACAAUCAAUUGCAACUCGUCAUUGAGUUGAAGUAGUGGAAGUAGCGAGCAACUUGAUGUGUACAAUUAAACCAAAUUUCUUUCUAAAUAUUAAGCCGCUAACGUGCAAUAUAAGCACACAGUAUGAACAACAAUAUCUCAACUUGGCAAUAGUUGCUUAUCAUUUGUAUUAGACCAGUCGCAUCGGAAGUUCACUGAUAUAGCCAUCUUAUCAUUUUUAUGAAAGAGUAGGGUAGGCUGGUCACAUCGGAAGUGCACCGCUGUCUUUGAUAACAACCUCACUCUUAGGUAUCCCAUCCGAUCCUCCUACUCGUUCAACCUUGGACACAACGUCCAUUCCAGAAAGCACCUUACCAAAUACAACAUGGUGACCAUCCAACCUCUAGUUGUGACAGUCGUGAUGAAGAACUGUGAUCCAUUGGUGUCUUGGCCAGAAUUUGCCAUUGAUAAAUAACCUCUUGCCUGGUCCAGUGUGCUUAACUUUGAAGUUUUCAUCUGCAAAUUUU